UAUUAGUUACAUGGUCCUGUGCUGAAACUGAUCGGAAGCGGAUGGUGUACGAUCCUUAUAUGGAAACGGGCUAAAGGGACAGGCACUCUCAUCAAGACCCUGACUGGGAUGUUUUUGUAAACAAACGCCGUAAAGUUGAAGUAACUCGAUCAAAAAAACAGAUGUUCAGCCAUUGCCUAUUGGCAAACAUGGAUGAGCUGAAUGAACUCUUAGCAGCUUUUCCAAAAUCGAGCAACUGAGAGAGCACUGAAGCUGAGGAGGAAGCCUGCAGUUGGGCUCUUACAAGCCACUGACAAGUACAUGGUGACCUGUGUAAAAGAAUGGCUUCGAGUUCCAGGAGCAAGGCUUAGAAAUGGCAUAAGGAAACGCGUACUGAAAAACAGAGGUGUAGAUAGAGAAUCUGCAAACAAAAGUGCUGAAUUGCAACAGAACAAAGAAAUCCAAAAAGUUGGCGUUGACAACAUAUUUUUCACAGGGUUAUGACCCUUGUUUUUGAACUUGGUACAUAUUCUGCCAGGUUCUCUUGGACACUACUGAAGUUAAUAAAUGAAACUGUCUGUGCUUAUCUAAGGUACAAACUCCAUAAGAUGGUUAUAAGAACUUAUUUUGUAUGGCGUUAUGGCCUUUGCUUCAUGCUUUUUUAACUUGAUGAAAUAUAGGGGGAAACAGUUUGUCUCACAAACGAAUUUGAAGCCACAUAAAUGAAAUUUUGCAGGCCAAUAUUAGGGGUAUAUGUUUAGACUGUGUUUUAAAACUGGUUUUGAGAAUAUAUGUUUCACGUCCGCCUUGUUGCAGGUAGUAACACUGUUUUCUUGUUAAUAAUAAUUAAUUAAUAAUAAAGUUUAUU